GAAAGGCUUUGCUGUGUUUCCUCUGCAGAGAAAGUGCCCAGGUAACAGAGAUGACUCAAAAUCAUGUACAUUAGCAGUCAGAUCAGACAAACCAAAGCCUCACGGUGUGCCCACGUCGGAACUCCUUCUCCUAGCAUUUUUCUGGGUCAGCCUGGAUUGAGACACACUGGCCUUUAGAACUUGAAUAAAAUGCCGUUUCACUCAUUGCCAUCUUCGAUAGUUGGUAGAAGGUGAUUGCAGUUCCAAGUGGUGUCACCAUUUUAGUGAGUGCAUUGUGAAGGGAUAAGUAAGCAGAGAUGCAAAACCUCUUCCACUUCUUUUCCAUGAAGCACAGCUUUCAGAAGAAUUGAACUAUAGUAAAUGGCAGAGAGUCUAGCACAAUUAAGUAUUUCUAAACCAGGACUGAAAAUGAAGAAAUGAUCACCAUAGAGGAAACAAAAUCAGAGAGGAUAGGAAACCUGUCCAAAGUCAUAUGGCUGAUAAGAGGCAGAGUGAAGACUGGACCUGAGCAAGUUUGGUGUAGAAGCCUGUGCUCUUAACUGCCAUCCUAGAUUCUUUCUUAAGACUUCUUCUGAGGAACUGAAGACACAUUUUGUAGAAGUUGAUGGAUUAAGAAAAAGAAGUUGCAUUUUAUUACCUAUCCUAAAGAUAGAAGGUUCCUCGCAUGACUGACAGCUUAGAAGCCAGAGGUCAAGGGAGCCUAUCGAUCAAUGCACUCCACGCAAAUAUGUCCCAGGAGCAGGAUAGAACAAGGUGUAAAAGGGUGGGACUCUAUCUAGAGGGGCAAAAUGAAGAUAUCGAACACAUUGACAUGAAUAAAAUAUGUACAAUGUCAUUAUAAUGUGUCAAAUUUGCACAGAAAAAUAAUCAUAAAAUAUUUAAUGUCAUAGUCAACUACUGGUGGUGUUUUAUGCCAGCUGCACUUUAGCUGGUUAACUGGAGGAUUUGAGUGAAAAUACUUCUUUUUUUUUUUUUUUUAAGAGAGAGAGAGGUUCAGGAAACAUCUGAAGGGGAAUGGGCAAGUGAUGCCUGAACGGUACUGGCAGAAGAUAAAUGGUAUGUUAUUUUAAGCCAAUAGAAAGCUUAAUCCCAUGAGGGAAACUCUGGGAAAUGUACACCAUAUGAGUCAGAAUUACUCCAAGAAUGAGGGAGCUAGGACACUUAGCUUCCUGAACCAUUGGGUGUGAUCUGCCCCUGUAGGCAAAGGGCCUUCCUAGGAUCUAGAAAAAAAGACUCCAGGCAGCUAGAUGUAGAUACUGGCCAUUGGAUGUUUGUCAAAGCAAAAGAAAGAUCUGAAGGGUAAGGGAAGGACAUUGUUGGUGUCUAUACUUUUGGCCAAUAUGCCACAAGUACAAAUGCACCAGUUACAGUGUUAAGCAUGACUGCUUGAAUUUACAACCAGCUUUUGAGGAUAUGGAUAUGGAAGGUGUUCUUAAAAGUCCCAUCUUAUUGUCGUGACAGCAAAGAUCAUUAUAUAAGUCUGUUAUUAUUUCAGGCAAUUAAAAAACUGUCUCGUAAUUAUUUGAGUCACAUUUCUUUUUAAUAUUUUUGACAGUCUGUAAUUUUAGAAUAACACUCUCAAAUACAUCAUUUGCCAUAUUUUAACACAUUGGAGUUACAUAAUCUGUGUAUCAGUGUACCAGAGUGAAUUUGGUUUUGUGAAGACCUCAGAAGAAAAGCUUACCUGCAAUCUCCAUGUCUAAACUUGAAUAGAUUAAAAUGUUCCCUUGAUUAGGA
rnacentral:lncRNA from 10 species